rnacentral:rRNA from 1 species
GACGAACGCUGGCGGCGUGCUUAACACAUGCAAGUCGAGCGGAAAGGCCCUUCGGGGUACUCGAGCGGCGAACGGGUGAGUAACACGUGAGUAAUCUGCCCUUGGCUUUGGGAUAACUACCGGAAACGGUGGCUAAUACCGGAUACGACAACCGUCUGCAUGGGCUGGUUGUGGAAAGUUUUUUCGGCCAGGGAUGUGCUCGCGGCCUAUCAGCUUGUUGGUGGGGUAAUGGCCUACCAAGGCUUCGACGGGUAGCCGGCCUGAGAGGGUGACCGGCCACACUGGGACUGAGACACGGCCCAGACUCCUACGGGAGGCAGCAGUGGGGAAUAUUGGACAAUGGGCGGAAGCCUGAUCCAGCAACGCCGCGUGAGGGAUGACGGCCUUCGGGUUGUAAACCUCUUUAAGUACCGACGAAGAGCCGAUGAUGGUGGUGACGGUAGGUACAGAAGAAGCACCGGCCAACUACGUG